rnacentral:rRNA from 1 species
AGCGAACGCUGGCGGCAGGCCUAACACAUGCAAGUCGAACGAACUCUUCGGAGUUAGUGGCGGACGGGUGAGUAACACGUGGGAACGUGCCUUUAGGUUCGGAAUAACUCAGGGAAACUUGUGCUAAUACCGAAUGUGCCCUUCGGGGGAAAGAUUUAUCGCCUUUAGAGCGGCCCGCGUCUGAUUAGCUAGUUGGUGAGGUAACGGCUCACCAAGGCGACGAUCAGUAGCUGGUCUGAGAGGAUGACCAGCCACACUGGGACUGAGACACGGCCCAGACUCCUACGGGAGGCAGCAGUGGGGAAUCUUGCGCAAUGGGCGAAAGCCUGACGCAGCCAUGCCGCGUGAAUGAUGAAGGUCUUAGGAUUGUAAAAUUCUUUCACCGGGGACGAUAAUGACGGUACCCGGAGAAGAAGCCCCGGCUAACUUCGUGCCAGCAGCCGCCGCCGUAA